GGCAGAGAAUGGUGGUCUUAAAAAUGAGGGUUUUGUGUGCUUGUGCUCUAACUGAUUUAUUAAAUGGCAAUUAUUUCUGCUUCCAGCAAUUCCAGACAAGAUAGGAAAGAGCAAGGACUUUCUCCCCCACCCUUCUUCUCCAUUACUAAAGAAUAUGAAAAUGUUGACUGAAUUAUUUAUGCCAGUGCAAUCAUAUUUAGCAUAUUUAUGGUUACAUUUAGUUGUUAGCAAAUUGUACCUCACAAAGGCACAGCCAGUCCUGUCAGGUAUGUAGUGAAAUGACUCUUAUGGCACAGCCAAUGCCUUAAAGGUGAUGACUUUCUUUUUCCUUUUCAAUAUCAUUCAGAAAUCAACCAGUCUAGAAUGGAGUGAUUGUUUGCUUCAGGCAGUAGAGACAAAAAGCGAGAGAAAUCAAUUGAGCUGAGCAUUCCUACGACAUGCUGUGAUCAUAUUGUCUUCAUUGAUCCAAAACAUCCUGGCUGCUUGUGACUGGCUGGAUGCCAACAAAGACCAACUUGUUGGGACAGAAUUCUGGAAAUGGACGAGGAUGAAGUUACAAACACAAUUGAAAAAUUAGAACAAAGGGGAGACGAUGAUGAGACUGAAGUAGUCAUGUCCACCUUCUUAUUUACUUUUGAAUGCCUGAAAGACAUGAACUUUUUU